rnacentral:rRNA from 1 species
UACGGGGGGGGCAAGCGUUGUUCGGAAUCACUGGGCGUAAAGCGUACGUAGGCGGAUUUUUAAGUCAGGGGCGAAAUCCCGGGGCUCAACCUCGGAACUGCCUUUGAUACUGGAGAUCUUGAGUCCGGAAGAGGUAAGUGGUACUGCGAGUGUAGAGGUGAAAUUCGUAGAUAUUCGCAAGAACACCAGUGGCGAAGGCGGCUUACUGGUCCGGAACUGACGCUGAGGUGCGAAAGCGUGGGGAGCAAACAGG